rnacentral:rRNA from 1 species
GGACCCGCACAAGUAGUGGAGCAUGUGGUUUAAUUCGAAGAUACGCGCAGAACCUUACCAACACUUGACAUGUUCGUCGCGACUUUAAGAGAUUAAAGUUUUCGGUUCGGCCGGACGAAACACAGGUGCUGCAUGGCUGUCGUCAGCUCGUGUCGUGAGAUGUUGGGUUAAGUCCCGCAACGAGCGCAACCCUCACUUUUAGUUGCCAUCAUUUAGUUGGGCACUCUGAAAGAACUGCCAGUGAUAAGCUGGAGGAAGGUGGGGAUGACGUCAAGUCCUCAUGGCCCUUACGUGUUGGGCUACACACGUGCUACAAUGGCAUUUACAAUAGGAAGCAAGAUGGCGACGUCAAGCAAAUCCUAAAAAGAUACCUCAGUUCGGAUUGCACUCUGCAACUCGAGUGCAUGAAGCUGGAAUUACUAGUAAUCGU